UGGGGAAUAUUGCACAAUGGGCGCAAGCCUGAUGCAGCCAUGCCGCGUGUAUGAAGAAGGCCUUCGGGUUGUAAAGUACUUUCAGCGAGGAGGAAGGCGUUGUGGUUAAUAACCGCAGCGAUUGACGUUACUCGCAGAAGAAGCACCGGCUAACUCCGUGCCAGCAGCCGCGGUAAUACGGAGGGUGCAAGCGUUAAUCGGAAUUACUGGGCGUAAAGCGCACGCAGGCGGUCUGUCAAGUCGGAUGUGAAAUCCCCGGGCUCGACCUGGGAACUGCAUUCGAAACUGGCAGGCUAGAGUCUUGUAGAGGGGGGUAGAAUUCCAGGUGUAGCGGUGAAAUGCGUAGAGAUCUGGAGGAAUACCGGUGGCGAAGGCGGCCCCCUGGACAAAGACUGACGCUCAGGUGCGAAAGCGUGGGGAGCAAACA
rnacentral:rRNA from 1 species